UGGGGAAUAUUGCACAAUGGGCGAAAGCCUGAUGCAGCAACGCCGCGUGAGUGAUGAAGGCCUUCGGGUUGUAAAGCUCUGUCUUUUGGGACGAUAAUGACGGUACCAAAGGAGGAAGCCACGGCUAACUACGUGCCAGCAGCCGCGGUAAUACGUAGGUGGCAAGCGUUGUCCGGAUUUACUGGGCGUAAAGGAUGCGUAGGCGGAUUUUUAAGUGAGAUGUGAAAAACCCUAAGCUUAACUUGGGGACUGCAUUUCAUACUGGAAAUCUAGAGUGCGGGAGAGGAGAAUGGAAUUCCUAGUGUAGCGGUGAAAUGCGUAGAGAUUAGGAAGAACACCAGUGGCGAAGGCGAUUCUCUGGACCGUAACUGACGCUGAGGCAUGAAAAGCGUGGGUAGCAAACAGGAUUAGAUACCCUGGUAGUCCACGCCGUAAACGAUGAGUACUAGGUGUAGGAGGUAUCGACCCCUUCUGUGCCGCAGUUAACACAAUAAAGUACUCCGCCUGGGAAGUACGAUCGCAAGAUUAAAAACUCAAAAGG
rnacentral:rRNA from 1 species